rnacentral:RNase_P_RNA from 1 species
AGGGCGGUCCUGGCGGUCGCCGGGAACCCUUCGGGGUUCCUGGAGGAAAGUCCGGGCUCCGCAGGGCAGGGUGCCGGGCCAAUCCCGGCGGGGGCAACCCCAGGGACAGUGCCACAGAAACCGGACCGCCGGUCCCCUUCGGGGCGGCCGGCAAGGGUGAAACCGUGGGGUAAGAGCCCACGGGCGUCCCCGGUGACGGGGACGCCGGCAAACCCCACCCGGAGCAAGGCCGAACAGGGGAAGGAUGGCCCGUCCGAGACCCCGGGUCAGGCCGCUGGAGGCGAGGCGGAAGCCUCGCCCGAGAGGAAUGAUCGCCACGAGGUUCCCGGCGACGGGACCCUCGGACAGAACCCGGCUUACGGGCCGCCCUGACC